rnacentral:misc_RNA from 1 species
UGUGGGAGCUGGCUUGCCUGCGAUAGCGGUAUAUCAGCACCACAUUUUUUUCCUGACAGACCGCUAUCGCAGGCAAGCCAGCUCCCACA